UUUUCGUACCACGGCGAGGCCGGAUUCCUGUUUUAUCAUGAAUAUUCAUUAGGCAGGGUCGGGGAAAGUCUCGAUUCUCUUAAAUAUUCAUAUCGAGGUGGGAAUGCACGACGCGCGCUAUACUCGCACAAAGUGAGAAGAUUUAGUUCACGGAGAAUGCAUAUGGAUUGAAACUGAAGAGCUGGAAGGAGGACAUUACAACAUCUCUUAUAUUUGCAAGAUGAAGCAGAAAGUCCCAUGCAGGAUGAUGCCUCUCUACAGUGGAUGAUGAAGGCAUUCUGGUUUGCAAACUCAGGAGAGGAACAAAGAACAGAUGUUGACGGGAUCAUAUCUAGAGAUGCGGGCCUACUACACUUCAUACGAGCAAGUGUGCUAAUAUACAUGAAGGUACCCCCAAUAAAUUUUUGUGGAACAAAUGUCAUGGAGAAAAUUAUAGAUCUGAAACAGAUAUUUUUCAUUGUCAGUUGACUUGUAAAAGAAUAAUUGACUUAAUAUCACAAUUGUAAUUUAGAUUAAAAAUUAAAUGUCAAUAU